CAUCGAUUUAGACGACGUCAACUAUGUUUAACAUGAUUUAGUGGAUGUCAACUAUGUUUAACAAAAGUGAAGUAGAUGUUAGUGUUUAGUUAAACAUGUGGUUAAACUGCGAAAGGCAAAUUCUUUUAAAAAUCCUUCUGAUAGAUUAUAUUGGUAGUUUUCUUCUUCAUAACACUUGCAUAGUGUAAAUUAACCUUGAUUGACAAAAAAUAAGAAUCGAAAACUAAUUCCAAAAUCAGAAACUCGUUUAAAAUUACCUAGUUUUCUUCGUCAUUUUUCAUGACAUGGAAAUCAUCUCCACUUUGAAGCAAUAUAAAAUGAAAUCAAAGCGAAGAAGAAGAAAAGGAACAGAGUUUGAUGAGUAAAAGAGGUUGGAAUAGAUUAGGGUGUCAAACUUGAAUUGAUGCUAGCUUGAAUAUAAGUAUCAAUCGAUUCGAGAGGUUUUGGUUGAGGGUGAGUGUGCUUUUCACUUUUAACCAUACGUUUAGUUAAAACUAAAGUCAUUUCUGUUAUAUGUAGUUGACUUUGUUUAAAUCGAUGUGUAAAAUCUACAAAUUUUAAAAGUUUGUAUAUUAAAUAGGAAACAAAAAUUAGUUCGGGUAUUAAAUGGGGAUCCAAAAUAGUUUGUGUAUUUUAUUAACAAAUGAAAAUUAGUUCAUGUAUUUUUAAGGAAUUGUUUUUUCAUAAAUUAGACACAUGUUUAAUUAAACAUUAACGUCGUGUUCACUUCCGUUAAACGUAGUUAACUCCGUCUAAAACGAUGUGUAAAACCUGCGAAUUUCAAAAGUUUGUGUAUAUAAUAGACAACAAAAAUUAGUUUGUGUAUUAAACGGGGAUCCAAAAUAGUUCGUGUAUUUUAUUAGCAAAUAAAAAUUAGUCCGUGUAUU
rnacentral:lncRNA from 1 species